AAGAUAGCAAAAUGUCGGCUGCAGCUGGUGCCGCUAGAAAGCAGGAUAUGCCCCCACCGGGAGGCUAUAAGAAAAUUCCAUAUCUGCGAGUUCCAGCCAAAAGUUAUUUCACAGGAUUUCAAAUGCUCGGCGGAUACGCGGUGGUCACAGCCGCAGGAAUGUAUGUGUAUUAUUUGACUGCCAAACAAAUUCAGCGUGAAGAGAUAGAGAAUCGUUCUGCACAAAAUGUCAUAUAUCCUCUGCUCAUAGCGGAGCGUGAUCGUGAAUACCUGAAACAACUACGUCGUAAUCGCGACGAGGAAGCUAAACUGAUGGCAAAUGUGCCCGGUUGGGAGGUUGGCACUUGGUAUGGUGAGCCCGUCUACAAGACUUUACCCAAAGACACUCUCGUAACCCCCUUGUUCAAGGAAUUCUAUGCUCACACCGAUUAUAAGUCCUACGCCAAGCGCGCUCACCUUAAGUUAUGGUCAUAAGCACUUUUUCAUUCUGAAUUUUCAACGCCAUUCGGUAAAAAUCGAAAUAAACCUUCGAAAAAGGAAUGGAUUACGAAUAAAUAAACAAUUAAAAAAGUUAUUCAAGAACAGAGGACGUAUUUCAAAUCUUCAGAAUAUUGCUGUCCGUCGACGUUGCCUCCAGCUAUAUAUUCAACGGUUUAAAUGGCAUAUUUACAAAGUAUCAUCUAGCAAAUGAAAUAAACAAGUUACAAAUAACAUAA